rnacentral:rRNA from 1 species
UACGUAGGGGGCAAGCGUUGUCCGGAUUUACUGGGCGUAAAGCGCGCGUAGGCGGAUGCCUAAGUGUAGCCUGAAAGCCCCCGGCUCAACCGGGGAUCCGGGUUGCAAACUGGGCGUCUUGAGGGCGAUAGGGGAGUGCGGAAUUCUCGGUGUAGCGGUGAAAUGCGUAGAGAUCGGGAGGAACGCCCAAGGCGAAGGCAGCACUCUGGGUCGACCCUGACGCUGAGGCGCGAAAGCGUGGGGAGCGAACGGG